rnacentral:rRNA from 1 species
ACUCCUACGGGAGGCAGCAGUGGGAAGUAUUGCACAAUGGGGGAAACCCUGAUGCAGCCAUGCCGCGUGUGUGAAGAAGGCCUUCGGGUUGUAAAGCACUUUCAGUAGGGAGGAAGGUAGUGUAGUUAACACCUGCAUUAUUUGACGUUACCUACAGAAGAAGCACCGGCUAACUCCGUGCCAGCAGCCGCGGUAAUACGGAGGGUGCGAGCGUUAAUCGGAAUUACGUGGGCGUAAAGCGCAUGCAGGCGGCCUGUUAAGUCAGAUGUGAAACGCCCGGGGCUUAACCUCGGAAUUGCAUUUGAAACUGGCAGGCUAGAGUCUUGUAGAGGGGUUAGAAUUUGAGGUGUAGCGGUGAAAUGCGUAGAGAUCUGAAGGAAUACCAGUGGCGAAGGCGGCCCCUGGACAAAGACUGACGCUCAGAUGCGAAAGCGUGGGAG